rnacentral:rRNA from 1 species
UACAGAGGGGGCAAGCGUUGUUCGGAAUUACUGGGCGUAAAGGGCGCGUAGGCGGCCUUCUAAGUCAAACGUGAAAUCCCCGGGCUCAACCCGGGAACUGCGUCCGAUACUGGAAGGCUUGAAUCCGGGAGAGGGAUGCGGAAUUCCAGGUGUAGCGGUGAAAUGCGUAGAUAUCUGGAGGAACACCGGUGGCGAAGGCGGCAUCCUGGACCGGUAUUGACGCUGAGGCGCGAAAGCCAGGGGAGCAAACGGG